rnacentral:rRNA from 1 species
AUGAUGCCCGGUAGGAAGAAAAAGCAAAGGACCAGAGAGCAACAAGAGAAGCCAAGGUGUGCCACUAGGGUUUCUAAGAGAGGUACAAAGAUAAGAUGCAGCAUGUGCAAGCUACAUGGGCACAACAGGACAUCAUGCAAAGCAAGAAAUGGCACAGGGAGUUCAAAUACACCAACUCCUGAGCAAGGCCAAGGUCCUGCUAGAAGUAAAGCACCAUCAGCUGCUUCCAAACAGUCUGCUGCAAGCCAAACUGCAACAAGUAGUGAAGCACCAUGUGCUAGUCAAGGGCCAGAUAUGGUACACUAUCCAGGAAAUAUGCAUGAGCAAACCUGA